rnacentral:rRNA from 1 species
GUGGAUUAGAUACCCUGGUAGUCCACGCUGUAAACGAUGAAUACUAGGUGUGGGGGGACUGACCCCCUCCGUGCCGGAGUUAACACAAUAAGUAUUCCACCUGGGGAGUACGGCCGCAAGGUUGAAACUCAAAGGAAUUGACGGGGGCCCGCACAAGCAGUGGAUUAUGUGGUUUAAUUCGAAGCAACGCGAAGAACCUUACCAGGGUUUGACAUCCAACUAACGAAGCAGAGAUGCAUUAGGUGCCCUUCGGGGAAAGUUGAGACAGGUGGUGCAUGGUUGUCGUCUACU